AAUGAACAAGAAUUUCUUUGGGUUUUGCAUGUAUAAAUAAUAUGUGAAAAGUCUGGUGAAGAACCACGUGUGAUGGAAUGGUUUUCACUGCACAGCCCAUGCAUGUGUGGAUGAAAUAAUUUCCAUUGCACAUCCUGGCCAGAAUAAAGUAAUAUAUAAUUCUCUAACGUGGAAAAGAUGUUGUUGGAGAGUUUCUAUUUUUCCCGUAGUUUCAGUGAUGAUAGAGCGCUGCCUUCGCAGAGUAGGUCAAUCCCACCCGGAACGGGAAGCUGCGGCGUGUGGGGAACGAAUCCCCCCCGGCCUCCCGCCCCAGGGCGUCCCCCUGGGAGCAGCCGUGCUCCAGGCCGUGACUGUCACCUGCACACCUAAGGACUCGGAACGGGCGUUACGCACCACGGCUGUGGCAGGGACAGGGUCAGGUGCGGCCACAGAAGUGGCCACGGCACUGUCCGCACGCUGUCCCUGCCGCUUCUCCCGCAGCCGCCGGCGGGGGGCAGGAGCUCCCGGCCACCCGUGCUCCUGCAGCCAAGGGGCCACCGGGACACUGCGGGGGCUCGUGGAAGCCAGGGGCCAUCGUGACACAGCGCGGCCGCACGGAACCCGCGGUGCGUUGUGACCCCUUGGCACCCAAGAGACCCUUUGUGACGCUGUGGAACUUCUCGGAACCCCGGGGACCGCUGUGACACCACGGAACCUCGGGGAACCCCAGAGACUCUGGUGACGCUACAGAUCGCCUACAAAAAACGACGUUCCAAAAUACCAGAAUAACCUAGUUUCAAAACAAUAGAAAACCAAAUUUCAAAAUACCAAAGAAAACCAGGUCUCAAAAAUCUCAGAUUUAAAAUACCAGAAUUUUAACCUAACCCUAGUUCCAAAAUACCAAAGUGACCCCGUUUCAAAAUACCAGAACAGCAGGUUCAGAAACAGCAAAAUAAUUCCAUUUCAAAAUACCAGAAUUUCAAGUUCAAAAUAUCAAACUGCAAAAUACUAACUUUCAGAUCUCUUAUAUGGUCAGGAUUCCCAAACCCAAAAAAUGCAAUAUUGUCAAAGUGGGAUCUGUGCUACCAAAAUGGAUAUUUUCUCCUCUGAAAAGCUUUUCCCUGAUGACCACCAAUCCCUGUAUUUAUUAUUAAUUGUACGGCCAAAUGCAAUAAGAAUUUUAUUUUAAAAGCAAACUCUUGUAGAAAUUUUCUGCUUAGAUUAUGUCUGCGAGAACUGGCAUUCAGGCCAGAGAGCUGUGGUUGGGAGCAAAGGAUGGAGUAAAUCUGCUCCCCGGAUGGACAAGGAAAGACUGAGUAGCAGGAGCAUUGCAACUUCUGGGUCCUAUUGAGUAUGAAGCUUCACGUUUUUUGGUGUAUUCAUCGUGUCUCAAAAGGGACCUGCCCCAUGUCAAAGAUGACAUCUAAAACUGAGGCUUCUGAUAGGCUAACCUGGCUGUCAUGGGACCUUCUGAGAUGCCUGAGGAGGACUCAUUUUGUGUCCAAAGUGGAUUCACGUUGCCAUCCGAAAGAUAAGCUGUGGGCUUUGAGUCAGAGAUGGGAUCAUAGCAGGGUAGCGGGGUGGAAAUUCUCAGGAAAGAUUUAAUAAUUAGCGCAGGGGUAAGGGAUAUCCUCUAAGGGGCCUCUUAGGACAGCUAAAGGCAGCAGGUCUACUUUUGAUUGCAACUGUAGGGUGUGCAGAGCAGUUCUAGUCUGUCUUGUGUUGUCUAGCGUGUCUUUGGGAUCCCUUGGAUUAGCUAUCUCUGCUUUUUCCCCUUGAGGACCUUAUCGCAAGCAUCGUUUGCCAUCUCUAGGUCCUGGAACGUUUGCGCUUCUCAGCACGACGCCAGUAUCGUUCGUUCUUUUACUGGUGGGCUCGGCCACAUCUUGGAAGUGCAUGUCGGAUGCCUUUUGAGGCCUUGUUCCCGGCUGUAUUGCCAUCCGUCCUUUCCAGCUGUGAGUUGUAAUGUCCUGGGGCUUGUAAGGAUAUGAGGAGCAUUCUCAAUGUAGUGUUGUCUCGCAGGCGUCUUGAUCACUGUGACUGGCAGUUCUUAUAACAGGUCACUGUUAUGGUCUUGUCUUCUGCUCCUUAGAGCCUCCUCCGUCCACUGUUGCCAUGCCAUUGGUCAUCUCUUUUGGCAUUGUCUCAGUCCUCUUUCUUCUUCUCCCCGAGAGCUUUUUUUUUAUCGUUCUUGUGUCACGCUGUUUGUAGCAUAAUGUGUUGUUUGUGUUUAGCCUGGAACUGCUCUGCCCUGUGGAAUAGAGUGGGGGGUAGGUGGAAUAGAAAGAAGACUUUACAGGUAAGCUUUAGCUUUGCUUAGCCACCCGAGUCACACCUCAGACACAGCUACUGCGUACAGUCUGUGCGAGGUUCGGCGGGAGCGGUACGGCGGCAUCUUGCAGUUUUCUAGCUGUUUGUCUUAAUGCACGCUGUUGUCGGAUCCUAGGCGGUUUGCUUUGACAAAUGAGAACUUGGGAAAGGUUAAGCUUUCCUUGCGUGUCUGAGUGACUUGGACAAAUAAUUUUUUUGCAGAGGGAUAGGAUGUAAACCUGAUACGAAUGGAGGAGGCCAGAGGAGCACGGCGACGAGGCGGGUCAGCACCUGACCUCCGAGCGAUGGCCUGACUUUCAGCUCUGUUUACCUCAUCAUUCAGUUCUUCAUUUCAUUUUGAAGAUGCGAAGCACUUGGCAUGGCUGGGUCUAGGCACUGGGAAGACUGUUAGCCAGCUGAGUACCGGUGG